UAUGCAUCUCUUUCUCCCGGGAAUUUCUUUCUCUUACUCUCUCUCUCUCUCUCUCUCUCUUGUCCCGCUAACGACAACCCUCUAACUUCUUCCCAGCUGCUCCGGUGUGAAUCCGAUCGCAGAAUAAGGUCGACUCUACUCGCAGGUGAGUGUUCAAGAAUCAAGACCGCCUCUGGUGUGAGAUGCUUGCAAGGAACUCCUGUGAACAGCUACCUCGCUCUCUCCAGCGAUGGAUUUUUAUUUGUUUUUCCCUGCAAAUUUCCUCCAAGAGGGAAAUCAUUCCAUUGCAACUCUCAGAGGGAAAUCAAGUCGGUGCUAUUGAAGCUCGAUUGGAACUCACCAUUGUUGGGUACGCUUUUGUGGGUUUGCCAUAGUUGGGAAACAUCCACCAAUGAUUAAUAAGCUGUUUAUGUUGUAUAAACAUGUAUAGGGCGAGAUUUAGAUUCAGUUUAGUUCGAGUCAAUCAGUCUCUCAUUCCAAUAUUCAAUCAUAAUAGACUUUGUUCGGUAGGAACUCAUAUUUUGUCUGAGAAGAAAUUGUAUUAAUGUGAACCUCAGAGCUCGUAUUCUUCAAGUAAUAAGACAGUGAUCACUGUGGAUUGGU